UGGAAUGUAAACAGAGUGUGUUACCAGCAACAGCCCAGCCACAGAUCCCAACUGUCCCCCCGGGAGCAGCAAACCCCAGGCUCCUGCUGCAGCCCGGGGGCAGCUUGUCACGCUGGAUCCCAUCCUAACUGCUCUCCACACCGACCUCCCUGGCAAUGACAACUCCCAGAGAUUGGCCUGAAAUCCCAAGGAGGAAUGAUGAAGGAGAGCAGGGCUGGAUCAGCUGGCAAAGGAGGGGAACCAGUUGUGAUCCUGCUCACCCUGAGCUCUGCACAGUCAUCAGGAGGUCAGCCAGCCCUGUGACCUCAAACAAAACACAAUAAUUUCAGCCCUUACCUACUGAUCCUUUGCAGUGGGAGCACGUGGUCCCCCCAGCACAGCACAGCCACCGCAGCUCAGUCCUGAGAAGGAAAGGCACAUCGUAACCACCGAAUCCAACAGAACGGAAACCUUGGACAGAGGAAGACAACGCUGGAGAGCGGACGAGGGAGGGGGUGUUUCAAGUUGGGGGCUGUGGAAGCAGGUUUGACAGCCACCUGCAUUCCCCCACCCACCACAGGUCUGUAGUUCAAACGGGUUU